GUCGUGCAAUGAUCCAACGCUGCAAUCUCCAGGAACCUUCUCCAUCUAUGAAAACACGCCCUUUCUUUCUCUUCUUAUAUUCCUCAACCAAGGUGCAUUAUUAUUUCUCCAAAUUUGGAAGAGUAGGUUCCAGUGGUAUACUGGAAAGAGGCAACCGUUUUUGAUUGGCCAUUCUCUUUCUAGAAAUUAAAGAGAAGCUGAAGUUCUGAGCGUACCCUAGGGUAGAAGCUGAAAAUGACUAUUCUCAAUCAAGAAAAAUACUUAAGGUUUGAGGACUGCAAAUCAGAAGAUAAUGGGCUGUUUUCAGGCAGAAAAUCAUCAACCAGCUCAUGGAUGAGUACUGUUAGAAGAGGAUUUUCCGAUAGAAUAAGUAGCUUAAAAAGAAAAUCACUCUGCAUCUCUUCUCUAGGUGACUGGAGGCCAAAAGGAGUAUCUGCAGGAUCAUCAAGAAAUAAAGUUCUUGAUCCUCAGGAACCUUUUCUUCAAUUCUGGAACAAAAUAUUUGUCUUGGCUUGUAUAGUUUCAGUGGCCAUUGAUCCAUUGUUCUUCUAUAUUUCUGUCGUUGAUAUCAAGAGAAAAUGCCUAGAUUUGGACCACUCAUUAAAGAUCCCUAUUUCUGUUCUGCGAUCAGUCACCGAUCUUUUCUAUAUAUAUCAUAUUAUCUUGCAAUUUCGAACUGGCUUUAUCGCUCCUUCUUCUCGAGUAUUUGGUAGGGGUGAGUUGAUUGAGGACUCUUCCCUUAUAGCCAAGCGAUACAUCCCUUAUUUCAUUAUUGACAUUCUAGCUGUUCUUCCACUCCCACAGCUCGUGCUCUUUAUCAACGCUCCUAACGCGAAUCGUGCCAUAUCUCUGGUGAUGAAAAAACAGUUGGUGUUUGUUGUUUUCACACAAUAUGUUCCAAGAAUCUUUAGGAUAUUUCCGUUAUACAGAGAAGUAACAAGGACAACAGGUUUUUUUACUGAAACAGCGUGGGCUGGAGCUGCUUUCAACUUAUUCCUAUUCAUGAUCGCCAGUAAUGUAGUUGGAGCCCUGUGGUAUUUGAUCACAGUGGAAAGACAAGAUAACUGCUGGAGCCAAGUAUGUAAGGGUUUUGAAGAAUGUGUGUUAGACCACUUAUGUUGCGGGCAACAAGGGAAAAACGCUCAAUUUCUUAAUUCUUCUUGUCGUCUCCUGAAACCGGAAGAAAUACAAGAGAAUGACUUUGAUUUUGGGAUAUUCCGUGAUGCUCUUCAGUCUCGAGUUGUACAAAGAAGAAACUUCUGGUCCAAACUCAGCUAUUGCUUCUGGUGGGGGCUGCGAAAUUUAAGUUCUCUAGGCCAAGGCCUUAACACAAGCGACUUUGUAGGGGAGAUUCUCUUUGCCGUCUUCAUCUGCAUUCUUGGGCUGAUCCUGUUUUCCUUGCUUAUUGGCAACAUGCAGGAAUAUUUGCAGUCUAUCACAGUUAGAGUAGAAGGGAUGAGGUUGAGAAGGCGGGAUGCAGAACAGUGGAUGUCUCACCGCAUGCUUCCUGACAACCUUAGAGAGCGCAUUCGAAGAUAUGAGCAGUACAAAUGGCAACAAACUAGAGGCGUUGAUGAAGACUAUCUAAUUUGUAACCUUCCCAAAGACUUGAGGAGAGACGUAAAGCGCCAUCUCUGCUGGUCUUUGCUCAAAAGAGUGCCCAUGUUUGAGAAAAUGGAUGAACAGUUACUGGAUGCAUUGUGUGAUCGACUGAAACCAGCUCUUUUCACAGAGAAUAGCUUCAUAAUCCGAGAGGGAGAUCCAGUGAAUGAGAUGCUUUUUCUGAUGAGAGGUACUUUGUUGACUAUCACUACCAAUGGCGGAAGAACUGGCUUCUUCAACUCUGCAUCUCUCACGGCUGGUGAUUUCUGUGGAGAGGAGCUUCUUACAUGGGCUCUGGAUCCCCAUGCUUCCUCGACUCUUCCCGCCUCAACUAGAACAGUGCAAGCUGUUAUAGAUGUUGAAGCUUUUGCUCUCACAGCUGAUGAUCUCAAGUUUGUCGCCGCCCAAUUUAGACGCCUUCAUAGUAAGCAGAUUCGGCAUACUUUUAGGUUCUAUUCACAGCACUGGAGGACAUGGGCAGCAUGCUUUAUACAAGCAGCAUGGCGCAGACACUACAGGAACAAGCUUGAGAAAUCUUUGAAAGAGGAAGAAGAUAGACUGCAGGCUGCAUUGGUAAAUGAGACUGCAAAUAUACCAAGUCUUGGGGCUACCAUUUAUGCAUCAAGAUUUGCUGCCAACGCAUUGCGUGUCUUGCGGCGCAACCACCCUAAGGGUUCCAAAUCAUCUAGCAAAGUAAGUCCCUUACUGCUUCAGAAGCCAGCUGAACCUGAUUUUAGCUCCUAAAGCUAGAAUUAGAAAUAUUGGAAAGAGGCUCAUCAAUGACUUGGCUGUUGCAGUUUGGGUUUACUGUUAGUUCCUACAGCUAUUCAGAUAGAAGAGUCUGUUGUAUCUCUGUAAGAUUAGAAUUUAGAAUUAAACCUUGAAUAUAACAGGCAUUUUACCCCUGCCUUGUAAAUUUGUAGUAUUCUACUAAACUAUGGGUUUCAAUAGAUUUUGGCUAUUUGACA